AGAGAUUUUAUUCCCUCAAAGUUGCCCCCAAAGUUAAAGCUACAGCUGCACCUACAGGAGCACCUCCUCAUCCUCAGGAUCUUGAGUUCACCAAACUACCAAAUGGUUUAGUGAUUGCUUCUUUGGAAAACUAUGCUCCUGCAUCAAGAAUUGGUUUAUUUGUUAAAGCAGGCAGUAGAUACUAGGACUCCAACAAUUUAGGAACCUCUCAUUUGCUGCGUCUUGCAUCCAGUUUGACUUCAAAAGGAGCUUCGUCUUUCAAGAUAACCCGUGGAAUUGAAGCAGUUGGUGGCAAAUUAAGG